UUUCAACUAAACCAAGGUGAAAAAUUAUAUGUCGAGUGUAGUGGGAGACUGUACACCGAAGGGUGAUUCAGAAGAAGAUAACACGCUUCCUAGUGCAAAAAGGAAACCAUAUCCGGUGGUUCUUUGUGACAGUGAAAAUUCCACAUCAUCAAUGACACAUGAUGAUGAUUUACUUGAAAGUGAUAAUGAUAUAAAACCGUUUAUUCAAAAACGUUUUCCGGCAACCAUGGGUGGACUUUCGAUACCACAUCACGGACUAUCAGCUGCGUUUCACGGUUAUCAUGCCCAUUCGGCGGCAGCAAAUAUCAACAAUGGCAAUAAGACUCCAUUCUUAUUGCCUGCUGAGAUUUAUAAGAGCCUGUUUGCAAGUGCAGUCCUUCAGAAACAGCAACAGCAUCAUCACCAUCAAUAUAACCAAACAAGUUUAUCCACCACAAUGUCCGGAAAUAGUAGUGGUGCAUCGAUAGCAGAGAAGACUAAUCACUCGCCUCCACCACCUCCACCGUUUCCAAGGAAUUUGUUGUUUUCAUGUGGUGAAAAAUAUCAUCAAAGUCUUCAGGAUCAGGAGAACGAUGUACCGGAGAAUAAGAUUAAUGAUAAGGCUGCCGCAUUUGUAUGGAAUAACGAUGGAUCAGUGACAUCAACUAAUCACAGUACGAUUUCACAUCACAAUAAUAAUAACAACACUACAAGUAAUAACAAUAAUCACACAACAAAUAAUCAUUCCUCGGCAUCAGCGACUCCAGUUCCUGGAGUGUCACCUGUAACAACAUUAAGUUCACCUGUCGGUUUAGGACCUAACGCAACAAUGCCUGUGGGAGGUGUUCAAGGUCAAAACCCUACACAAGGGUUAGUACAUUGGAUGAGUGCUGUUAUGGCUGAACAUAUGACGGGAAAUACACAUCAUGAUCCAACGGUGGGAAUGCAUUACAUGUGGAAUGGCGGUGUAGAUCAAUGCGGUCAACAUUCAAAAGAUAUUGACUACAGUGGUUGGCCAACACCUCGAAAUCAUAUGUCAAUGAAACAAGGAUAUGAGGCUAAAAUGAAUGAUCACCACAGUAAUCUACAAAAAGGACAUCUUUUAGACGACAGUCGUUUGGAUCAUCAUCCCGGAGUUCAGAGUAGUCAAAUGGCAAUAUAUGGUGCUACCGGUGCUUUGCGAUCCGGUUCGUCGAGCAGUAGUUCUCCUGGUGGUGGUCAUGGCCAUCCUGGAGCGGCAGCAGCAGCAGCUCUACUAGUUGUUCCGCAACCAAUAAAUGCAACAAAAAUUACAGCUGGACUUACGAACGGGACCGGAACUGGACGAAAAUAUCAGUGUAAAAUGUGCCCGCAGAUAUUUAGUUCCAAAGCAGACUUGCAGCUUCAUACGCAAAUUCACAUGCGCGAAGCCAAGCCGUACAAGUGUUCGCAAUGCGCCAAAGCCUUCGCCAAUUCCAGCUACCUUUCGCAACACACUCGUAUCCAUCUGGGAAUAAAACCCUAUCGUUGUGAAAUUUGCCAACGGAAAUUCACCCAACUAUCACACCUACAGCAACACAUUCGAACACAUACAGGUGAUAAACCGUACAAAUGUCGACACCCCGGGUGCCAAAAAGCGUUUUCGCAACUUUCCAAUUUGCAAUCACACUCCCGCUGCCAUCAGACUGAUAAACCAUAUAAGUGUAAUUCCUGUUAUAAAUGCUUCUCGGACGAACCAUCUCUUCUGGACCACAUACCAAAACAUAAAGAAUCGAAACAUUUGAAAACGCAUAUUUGUCAAUAUUGUGGAAAAAGUUAUACCCAAGAAACAUAUUUAACUAAGCAUAUGCAGAAACAUGCAGAGCGAACGGAUAAGAGACCACCUAUAACCGGAACAGGAUUAAGUUCAAACUCAAAUCGAAAUUUGGGAUUGAACACAUCGAUACCAGCUGUGACAGGUGAACAUCCGUAUUGGCCGAAAGUUAGUCCAGAUUCGGCGGCAAGUCUGACGGAGGUGAUGCAUCAGCAACAUCAACAGCAGCAGCAACAACAACAGCAGCAACAGCAACAACAACAACAGCAGCCAGGACAACCGAAUCAUCACGAUUUCCCACCGAUCAGUUCACAACAUCCUGCUAACAAUGGCCAUCCCGACCUUCAAGCGCAUCACCGAAUGUUAGACAAUCACCGGGAUGAUGUUGCCUCUACACCAAUUGGACCGUAUGACACUGGUAGCCUAACAAAAACGACCAGUAGUUCAGCAUUUACACCGAUAAAUUCAAUGACACCUCAUUUGAAUUCGCUAGGACAUCAUCCAAUGACGCAACGCCCCUACCUGUAUGAUACCAUUAGCUUCCAGAACAAGAAUGUCAAUCAAAACACCGCCAAUUCCUUUCCCAAUCAAUUAAUUUCAUUACAUCAAAUUCGUAAUUACGCCCACCAACCUGCCGGUUUAAUGGCUGGUGAACAUUUACUCGGCGUGAGCGUAGGCGCCGGGAAAGAUAAAGGAUAACUAUACUUUUAAGGGUUGUCACUCCCUUGAAAAAUAGUGUGAUCAACUAUAGAUUGAUAUUCUAUAGAGUAACCAUGUUUUUAGUUAGAGGCUCGAAAUGUGAAAAUGAUGUUAAGCAUGCGAAGAAUUAUUUCUUUUACGAAUAAGACUAGAAGAAUAUGAUGUCCUAUUUCGAAACGUACGGAUGAGGACAAGGUAAACGAUCUCAGCACCAAAAUAGGUUAAUUUUUAAAGGAACUGAAAUUUCUACUAAAUAUUUAUAUUUUCGGUUUCUUCAAACUCAAAAGCACUAAACAUCGACGAAAAGUCCUUUUUUAUUCAGUCGAUGGAUUGAUUUGCAGUUUUGAUGUUUGGAUGUUUUAUUUGAUUUAUAUAUAUCUAGGCUUAUACCUCGCAAACACUUCCAUGUAUUAUGAAAACUUACAAAUAACCUUUCUACACGUGCACCCUCGGACUUGCAGGAUUUGAUAUAAUAUUAUUAAAUCCCAGCAAAAUAAUGCACGACCUAUCUAAAUGAUAUCCUAUCGAUUGGCUCUUUUUUGAUUACGGGUUUUUGAAAAUUCUGGCAAUUUUGAGAUUUUUUCCUCAGUCAGUUAUCUGCGGAUACAGGCGUAACUGACAGGCCGGUCUGAUCGUGUAUAGCAGGCUGAAACUGAGUUAAACAAGUUUGGCAAAUUUUAUUUUUCCGGUUAGAGUUUAUGUUGUUGUCAGUUGUUAUACUACUCCCUGUAUAAAAGCUCCGUAAGCAGAAAGUAUGUAAGCCGUUCAAACUGCAUAAAUAACCUCACCGAAUUUAAGUCUGCUAUCGUUCACUAUUUCAUAUGUUCAUUAAAGGAAAGGAAACACAGCCUCAUUACUAAGAAACUGUCAAUAACGAUUAUAGACAGGAGCGUGUGGAUGCCUUAUUGUCUAAUCGGGAAGAAAAGGAAGGCACAAUGUACAUCAAUUUGUUUCCUGUUUGAUGAACGAAGAGUCUUGGGUGCUAGUCCUAAACAUACUACUGUGUCCAAAAAGUAAGACCAGUUUUUAUUUAUUUGUUUUAGUUUCCAGAAGGCACACGGUACUAAACCAGGCGAAUAUGGCGGACCUAUCAUGAUAUGCAUCGAAUUUUUGUCGAAAAAGCCACGAAGAAUGAGUGCUCUUUUUCAAAGAAACUGAGUUGGUUUUUGCACUAAUCAAGACCACGUUUCAGACCUAAAAUAUCUUUCAAAAUGUUAUUGUCAGAUCCUUUCAAAAUGUUAUUGUCAGAUCCUUUCAAAAUACCAGCAGUAUUAGCAAGCUCUCUAGCAGUCAUUCGACGAUAGAAUUCGCAUAAAUUCCUCAAUUUUCUUGACAUGUUGUUCCUCGGUAGAGGUUGAUAGUCGUCCAUAAUUCUCUUCGUCUUCAACACUUUCACAGCCUUUUUUGAUAUGUUUAUACUACUUAUUAAUAUUCUUUUCCAACAAAGCAUAGUUCACUGGUCCGCGAAGGCUUUCUGUAUCAUUCUGAACGUUUCUGCACCCGAAAUUUCAUCCCGGAGAGGAAAUUUAAUGCAACUUCUUUGCUCAAUAUACUCGUAUAGUAAUUAUACAUUGCAAAUAUCGCCGAAUGCACUUUAGGCGUCGUACAAAACCAAACGUAAAUUUGUCGCAGAUACCUGUCACAAUGCUGCCAACUUAGAAAAAAAACGCGUGCUGUUUACCCGAACGAUUUAAAUUGAAAACUGGUGUUACAUUUAAGACAAGGGUAGGGGUCCGUCUGUCCAUUUAUAAAACGAAAGAUAUCAAGCCGUCGCUAAAUAGUUGAUUUACGCAUUCUCAUAACACUAUUUUUGUUUCAUUAUGAGCAAUAGCUUUCCGUUUAAAUUUUUAAACACUAUGCGAUUUACGGAUGCCGCAGAGGGGAUAGUUGAGCUCUCCGAUCUUGUUACACUGAGUUCAAAUCCUGAUCGUCAAGGAUAUCGGUGUUUGUCUUCGUGCUGUUAGGCUGCUGUAGGAUGAUAACGAAACUGAAACAUACAGACGGUGUCAAUGCCCUAUACACGACAAAAGAGUGAACAGUGACAUUCAUGCGAUUUACAACACUUUUUAAAAUCUUCAUUUCAUCCUCACAAGGUUAUUAGCUCACACACUUUCUGUCAAUGGUUACCCCAUAUCAUUUUCUACACUUUUUUCACCAUUGCUAGCUUAUUUGAUCAAUCAUUGCGAAAUUUGUCUUAGUACGGCCUCGUUUAAACUCUACUACCUAUGUGGUUGCCAUUCACCCCUUGGUGGGGUAUAGCGCGUCAACCUACGUGCCAUCGUUCGCGGUUACCUGAAAUGCCCUUCAGCUCGCCCCACGACUUCCCGAGACUAGCGUAUAGUUAUAGUCUCGAAAUGAGGUGGUCUCAAUGCAGCUUUGUAGAGAAUUUAUAAAAGGACACAAUAACCACAAGACCAACAACUGUUAAUCGAUGGCGAACAAUACUUCCAGUUGAUGAAUGACUAUUAUUCAUCUUCAGCAAUCCUGUAGUCGGCCGGUACUUAGAACCAUGGGAGGCGUUAGUGAUGCAUAAUUUAUUACCUCAAAUAGGAAUUGCUAUUUUAGAAAUAUGGCCUAUGAAGAUAGAUAUUAAUGCUGAAUUUGAACUCCUCCUUUUUCCUUCCUUGAUCAAACAUUAAUUCGUGGGACGACUAAGUGUUUCGAAUGUAUAUAUGUAGUAUCACGACGUGCAACGCAUUGGGUGAUCGCCCGUCUAAACUUCCAGUGUGGUUCAAACAUACGUAGGCCUUCGGAUCUGCCGAUUUGUCCAAUAUCACUAGAUGUGCAUGGAGUGAUCACAUAAAGAAUAUCUUCGGUCCACCUACAUAUAUAUCUCAAUUUGUUCUCUACAUAUCUUAAUAUCGUUUGACACAAUAUAUCAGGCCAGGUCUAUUCAAUGCCACGCGGUUCAGAUGCUACCCUGAUGUCUCUCAUAUCCAUCUCCCUGGUUCCGUCUUAAGAAUGUCUGGGGUAUAACGUCCCACCUUGGCUUUAUUAGGCUGUAAAGCGAGGGACUUUAGGAACCUAAUCCUUGGUCAGUACGACUACUUCUGUUUUCUCCAGAACUACUGAGACAAUGUUAAGCCACCCAUCUGUGGACUUAUCGCAUCACCAGUCCCAGUGUAUGUUGAAUUUGUUCAACCGUGCGUGCGACAACCAGUGCUUCAAAAUCAUCCACGGGCUUUAAUUGCAUCAAUUCUGGAUUGCCCCGCUCUAAAACCAUCUUAACCAAUUCUGAUGCCCUAGUUCCCAACUCUGAUAUUAGAUUACUUUAUUAUUCCUGUAAUAAUUAAGCAAGAUUAUCAAAUGUAGCCUGACCUUGCCCAGUUAUGCCUUUACUUUGCUGAUUAAUUCAGUAGCCUAUAUUUCGAUCUUCACUGAAUUCUUUGCAACAAAAGCCAAUGUCAUGUUUUGGCUUAAUCAACUGUGGGAAUUUCCUUCUUAAUGAAAAGCAUUGUCAUGACAAUAUACAAAAGAGGCUCCAGUAAGGUAUCUUGCAAUACAGUGUCUGUUCCCCAAGCAAUAGAAGUAGUAAUUUUUUUUCUAACACCCUGGAGGGUCUUGACGGAAACGGUUGUCAUGUCGGUUUAAGAGACUUUAAUGCAGUCAAAAUAGCAUCCUCUAGAGACGGUUUUAAUUUUCCAAUUCUGCUAGAAGCAUUGUCAUAACCGAGUAUACGGUCAGGAUUCCAGAAAGACGUUUUUCACAAUCUUUCAUGAACAUCCAUAUAGCGUCUCUUGAAUGAAUAAACUCCUUAUGAAUCACAGCCAAUUUUAGCAUUAAGAAAUACAGCCAGUAUUGUUGUUACUUCUGACUUACUUCGGCGCUCUAAUAUUUUUCGCCGCACCUAAAUACCCGUGGUUUGUCUUGAAGAACAAUUACAUAAAAUCAUAUGCCUAAUUUCUUCUAGCAGCUUCCCACAAUACGCUUUCCGUAUUCACUUUCCGGUAGUAUCCAAAACUACCUUCAAAUCCAUACCAUCUAUUUUAUUAUAGUUUUCCUGGAGCAAAUUGUUCAAAAAGAACUGCAAAACUGUCUAUCGCAAGUAGUUUUCUUUCUACGACGAACCAUCGAGAUAGAUAGAGAGAUGUAUUUACCUUGAGUAACUGAUUCAGGGAAACAACUGUGAAUGACAAUGCCAUUGGCCCCUUUCAUAGUUUUGCUCAUUAAUGGCAGCUGUCACGGACGUAUCUAGAAGUGUUGUACAUGACAGAUUGCUUAUGCCCAACCAGGGGUAUAUUUUUCUUUGUACCCAUACGGAGGUGAAAAAUCAUAGAAAGACACGUCCGCUCCAGCCCCGCGAGACCACCACUUAGGUAUUACUUCGCGGGGUGGGUUUACCUUACAGCAUUCAUCCUUCUGCACGUUUCGGCUUUGCUCCUUAUUUUCUCCUUCGGCAACGUUUGCUUUGUUUUACCAUUGCGGACGAAACCGUAAGUUGCUUUUCCUUCACGACUAAGUUCUCCAACCUAAAGCAGUGCAGAUACUGCCUACAGCAACCACCGUGUUCGGUGAGAAACUGUGCAAUGUGGUAGUUGGUCUCUCCAUGUUUCCGUCCAAGUCACAGCCUAAUGUUGAUGAUUAGCCUAUUCGUCCACCGACCUUUCGUAGACUCAUCCCAUCUGCAUUACCAGAGAUCAUUCGAUUUUGACUUUGCCGCAGUCCUACGUUCUGUGUGCCCCUUCAUGCUUGUAUGGUAGAGCACCAGCCCGCCACCACCUCUCCACCACUACCUCAUCUGAUGUGGUUCUAAAAGCACUGCCAACUCUCAAUAUCAUCAGUCAGUAAACCGAAUUCACCUUCUUUCGUCUUUGAGAGUUUGCAAGUGCAUGUGACAAGUAAAGCAGGAUGAAUCGCGUCAGUACGGCUAGAAGCAACCUCGAACAGUGUUUCGGCCCGUCAAUAUUCGACAACAUUUUGCAAGUGCAGCGCUGGCACUGGCUGCCUUUUGGGAUGCAAAUUCUAGGUGUUCCCUAAAGCUCAGUAUGUCGUCAGUUAUGACCACCAGGUAUUUGAUACCCCCGCUGUGACCCUGUGCUUUUUGGGGAUCUCAUUCGUCUCGUAUCAGAGAGGCAAUUUUGAAGGAACCAGAUUCCCUAAAUUUCCGGGAACGCCAAUUUUAAUUAACACCCCUUUAAAACUAUUCCAGUUGGUUGGGUUAAAUGCACUUUUCACAUCCAAUGCCGACACUGCACAUUAGCUUCCAGAAACUAGUGCACCUUUUGCCAGGUUCACGACCAUGCUUAUUGCAUCUACUGUAAAGUGGGGGCGCUGGUAACCAAACUGGCGAUCCAACAAGCCAUUGCUGUUUUCGAGGCUGGGUAGGAAUCUAUUCUAGAUGACUGGCUCCAUCGCAGCAGGCAGAUCGGGUGACGUAAUGCUCGGUCUCCUGGUGGCUGGUUGGGUUUGGGAAGCAACACGAACUUUUGCUUUCUCUGCUGGACGGAAGGUCAAACAAGUAAUCUAUGGUCACCCGUGUUCUUUAGUUUCAUCCAUUAUCAUAUAUAUGAUAUAGCUGUCUAAUGCAUUCCACUUUCUGCUUCGCUACCUAAUUACUAGAAAAAAGCCUUUUUCUGGAAGCAUAUAGAUUUCAGUUCUGCGACGUCCUAGUCCUACUAGUAUUUUAACUGCUGCAGGAACAUAUCUUUCCC
rnacentral:misc_RNA from 1 species